rnacentral:rRNA from 1 species
UACGUAGGUGGCAAGCGUUGUCCGGAUUUACUGGGCGUAAAGAGUGCGCAGGCGGUCGUGCAAGUCGCGUGUGAAAGCCCCCGGCUCAACUGGGGAGGGUCACGCGAUACUGCUCGACUCGAAGGCAGGAGAGGGAAGUGGAAUUCCCGGUGUAGUGGUGAAAUGCGUAGAUAUCGGGAGGAACACCAGUGGCGAAGGCGACUUCCUGGCCUGUUCUUGACGCUGAGGCGCGAAAGCUAGGGUAGCAAACGGG